GCCAGCAGUCAUACCACCCUGCAACUCAUAGCUGGCAACCCACUGAAGCUCAGCAGGUGUGAGCCCGGUCAGUACCUGGAUGGGAGACCUCCUUAGAAAGCUAAGGUUGCUGCUGGAA
rnacentral:rRNA from 1 species